rnacentral:lncRNA from 1 species
UUUGGCACAAAAGACUUGGCCAUGUCAGUCUUAAUCAUUGAACAAAUUAGUCUCCAAAGACUUGGUGAUAAGGUUACCUAAUGUCAAGUUUAAGAAAGAUAAAGUUUGUGAGGCAUGUACAAGGGGGAAACAGGUAAGGUCAUCCUUCAAACCAAAUAAAAUGGUAAGUACGUCCAAGACCUUGGAACUGGUUCAUAUGGAUCUCUGUGGUCCAAUGAGAUCCAUGAGCAGAGGUGGUAAAAGAUAUUUAAUGGUGCUUGUUGAUGAUUAUUCUAGAUUUACCGGGGUGUUGUUUCUAAUCUCUAAAGAUGAAACAUUUGAAAUGUUCACUGCUUUUGUUAGAAAAAUCCAUAAACAGUUAGGAAAUCAACUUGCAUCCAUUAGGUCUGAUCAUGAAACUGAAUUUGAAAAUGCAAAGUUUGCUGAAUUUUGUGAUGAAACUGGAAUAGAUCAUAAUUUCUCUGCCCUUAGAACUCCUCAGCAAAAUGGGCUAGUUGAAAGGAAGAACAUGACCCUUGAGGAUAUGGAAAGGACCAUGUUACUUUCGAAUUUUGUGAUGUAAAUGGAGUAGAUCAUAAUUUAUCUGCUCCUAGGACUCCUCAGCAAAAUAGGGUAGUUGAAAGGAAGAACAAGACCCUUGAGGAUAUGGAAAGGACCAUGCUUCUUUCCAGUAAACUACCUCACAGCUUCUGGGCAGAGGCUGUAAACAUUGCAUGUUAUAUAAUAAAUAGAUGCACGAUAGACCUCUUAUAGAGAAAACUCCCUAUGAGUUAAUUAAAAGGAGAAAACCAAACAUAUCCCAGCUUAGGGCUUUUGGUUGCAAGUGCUAUGUGCACAAUAAUGGUAAAGACUCCUUCGGUAAGUUUGAUCCCAGAAGUAAUGAGGGAGUGUUCUUGGGAUAUUCUACACAUAGAAAAGCGUAUAAAGUGUUUAAUAAAAGAACUCUGUGUGUAGAAGAAAGUGUACAUGUUGUAUUUGAUGAAUAUAACAUUCUUUCUGAGAGACAUGAACAUGAAGAUGAAGCCAUCGGAUGGUGAGACAAUUGACUGAAGCCACAUCACAAGUCAAGGUGAUAUCAAAGGAAGGAACAGGUGAUGGAACAGGCCCUUCCACUCAGGGAAACCUGACAGGGGGAGCCAAUAUGAGAGAAAUUGAUCAAAAUUCUCUAGAGGAACCUGCACGUGAACCUGUUCCUCUGUAGAAUAACAAUGAAGAAGCAUCCAGUAGGGACCAGAUGUUGGGUAAAUCUUACAAGUACCCGAGUUCUCAUCCCAUUGAGAACAUCAUCAAUGAUCCAACAUCUGGAGUCAAAACUAGAUCUCAACUGAAGAACCUGUGUGCAUUUGAUGCUUUUCUAUCCAUCAUUGAGCCCAAAAAUGUUGUUGAGGCUUUGCAAGAUGAAGAUUGGGUCAAUGCUGUGCAGGAUGAACUAAAUCAAUUGAGAGAAGUCAAGUUUGGAACUUGGUUCCAAGACCCAAGGACAGAUCAGUCAUUGGAACAAAAUGGGUAUUCGGGAACAAACUAGAUGAAGAUGGAACAAUUACAAUAAACAAUGCAAGGUUAGUGGUCCAGGGUUACAGUUAAGAGGAACGUAUUGACUAUGAUGAGACUAUUUCUCCAGUUGCUAGACUUGAAGCAAUUAGACUUCUCAUAGCCUUUACAACAUAAAUGGAAUUCACUCUUCAUCAGCUGGACGUCAAAAGUGCCUUCCUAAAUGGCUACCUCAAGGAAGAAGUAUUUGUUAAACAACCUCCAUGAUUUGAAAGAAUGGAGUGUCCUGAGCAUGCGUACAAGCUAGAUAAAGCCCUAUAUGGUCUCAAACAGGCCCCUAGAUCUUGGUAUGAAAGAUUGUUAAAAUUCCUACUGGAGCAUGAGUGCAAAAGAGGUAAAAUUGACAGCACUUUGUUCCUAAGGAAAAAAAGGUAAAGAUCUUCUUUUUGUACAAGUAUAUCUGGAUGGCAUAAUAUUUGGGGCCACUACAGAUAGGUUGAAUAAAGACUUUGCAAAACUAAUGGGCAGUGAGUUUGAAAUGAGUAUGAUGGGUGAACUCAACUUUUUCUUAGGUUUGCAGAUCAAACAAAGUCCAAAUGGUUCCACCAGAAGAAGUACACAAAAGAGCUAAUCAAGAAAUUUAAAAUGGAAGAAUCCAAAGAAAUAGAUACACCUAUUGCAACUGCCACAAAAUUAGACGUUGAUGAACCUAGUUCAUCAGUUGAUCAAAAGUUGAAUAGGGGUAUGAUUGGAUCACUUUUGUAUCUUACUACCAACAGACGUGACAUUGUUUUCAGUGCAGGACUUUGUGCUUGUUUUCAGGUAAAUCCAAAUGAGUCACAUCUGAUAACUGUCAAAAGAAAAUUGAGAUACUUGAAAGGCACAAUUGAUCUGUGGUAUCCCAAAGGUAGUAAUUUGGACUUAAUUAAAUAUGUUAACACUGACUAUACAAGUUUCCUAGUGGAUAGAAAAAGCACUUCAGAUAUGGCACACUUCUUGGGUUCUUGUCUUGUAUCAUGGGCUACCAAAAAGCAGAUCAAUGGCUCUCUCUACUGCUGAAGCUGAAUAUGUCGUUGCUGCUUCAUGUUAUGCUCAAUUACUGUGGAUUAAGAAACAACUGGUAGACUUUGGAAUUGAAGUGGG